rnacentral:rRNA from 1 species
UACGUAGGGGGCGAGCGUUGUCCGGAUUUAUUGGGCGUAAAGAGCUCGUAGGCGGUUUGGCAAGUCGGGUGUGAAAACUCCGGGCUCAACUCGGAGACGCCACUCGAUACUGCCAUGACUCGAGUCCGGUAGGGGAGUGCGGAAUUCCUGGUGUAGCGGUGAAAUGCGCAGAUAUCAGGAGGAACACCGGUGGCGAAGGCGGCACUCUGGGCCGGUACUGACGCUAAGGAGCGAAAGCGUGGGGAGCGAACAGG